rnacentral:lncRNA from 1 species
GGUUGAACUGAGUGGGGAGAUUGUGAUUCGAGGGCUUUAAAGGGAUCCCGUGGCCAGGGGCAGGGCUAAGGCCCAGCAUUUCCCAGGGAUUGGAAUUUGGUGCGGAGCACACUGAUCAAAGGCUGUUUCAUCCCACAUGGGCACGAAACACACCACAUUUUACGGAGGAUGAAGGCUGAGAGAAGAGGGAGGUGGAGGAGCAGCAUACAUGAAAAGCACCUUUACCUCUGUAAGAUGCAAGGGGAGUCUCUGGCCCGGUGA